ACGAACGUUGGCGGCGUGGAUUAGGCAUGCAAGUCGAACGAAUCCCUAGGGGCUUGCUCCUAGGGGAAAGUGGCGAAAGGGGCAGUAAGGCGUGGGUAACCUACCCUGGAGUCUGGCAUAGCCGUCCUAACGGACGGGUAAAACCAGACAAUGUAACGUGGUCGCAUGGCCGUGUUACCAAAGGGCAACCGCUCUGGGAGGGGCCCACGUGGUAUUAGCUUGUUGGUGAGGUAACGGCUCACCAAGGCCGAGAUGCCUAGCGGGUGUGAGAGCACGACCCGCGCCACUGGCACUGAGACACUGGCCAGACUCCUACGGGAGGCUGCAGUCGAGGAUCUUCGGCAAUGGGCGCAAGCCUGACCGAGCGACGCCGCGUGUGCGAUGAAGGCCUUCGGGUUGUAAAGCACUGUCGAGGGGGAGGAAGCUCCGCAAGGAGUUGACUAAUCCCUGGAGGAAGCACGGGCUAAGUUCGU
rnacentral:rRNA from 1 species